rnacentral:rRNA from 1 species
GAUGAACGCUGGCGGCGUGCUUAACACAUGCAAGUCGAACGAAGCACUUUAUUUUAUUUCCUUCGGGACUGAUUAUUUUGUGACUGAUUGGCGGACGGGUGAGUAACGCGUGGGUAACCUGCCUUGUACAGGGGGAUAACAGUUGGAAACGGCUGCUAACACCGCAUAAGCGCACGGCAUCGCAUGAUGCAGUGUGAAAAACUCCGGUGGUAUAAGAUGGACCCGCGUUGGAUUAGCUAGUUGGUGAGGUAACGGCCCACCAAGGCGACGAUCCAUAGCCGACCUGAGAGGGUGACCGGCCACAUUGGGACUGAGACACGGCCCAAACUCCUACGGGAGGCAGCAGUGGGGAAUAUUGCACAAUGGGCGAAAGCCUGAUGCAGCGACGCCGCGUGAGCGAAGAAGUAUUUCGGUAUGUAAAGCUCUAUCAGCAGGGAAGAUAAUGACGGUACCUGACUAAGAAGCACCGGCUAAAUACGUG